rnacentral:tRNA from 3 species
GCGGCAGUAGCUCAGUUGGCAGAGCACUAGCUUCCCAAGCUGGGGGUCGCGGGUUCGAAUCCCGUUUGCCGCUCCA